UUCUAUUAUUAUUCAUUCACCUUGAUCGGUUUCCAAUUUGCUGAGCAUCACUCGAUGUUUUUUAGUUGUAGAUCAGUGAAUCAACACAAUAGACCAAAUAUGGGCAAUGUGAGUUAGGGGCAUCUGAUCUGAUCAACAAUGUUGUAAGUGUUGAUGAAUAAACUUUUUUUAGCACGUGGUGAUGGCUCUACCGAUACUAUUUAGUUAUAGAUGUUCUGUAUAUCAGUUUUUCUUUUAUUUUUUGAUACUUGUCUUGAUUGGCUUCUUAGACCCAUGGUUACUAUAGUCUGCAACAAUAGAAAACUACUAAGCUGUGGAUGGAAAGCCAUGAAUCCGUAGGAAAAAUUGGAGCAAAAAUGUGAACCUACUUGAUCAUAAGUUUAUGGAAGCUGCAGAGGCUUGCUGCAUCUAAGGAAACCAUGCUUAUUUCUGAUAGUAGGCAACUGUGGUUGUGAUACAUGGGAGUAGAGCAUUCUGUAUCAUCUUCUUUGACAGAGAUUGAACUACGAGACUACAAUUUCUAAGGCUUCAUGCUCAACUAAUCUGGCUGGUAGAACUGAGCUUGCCAAUUUAGGUAUAUUCAUCUUUUAUUGCUAGCUAGAAUAUUCUAUUUUAAGUUGCAGCUAUUCAUCAGAAGAGCAUUUCGGACAACUAGAUGCAUCUACACGAUUAGUUAUUUUAAUAUAUAGUUAGUGUUCUUCCAUAUAUGUCAAAUAAUAACACCUUAUGCUACCUAGGCAAGAAUUGAGAUGAGUGACUUUCAUGUAAACCCAAAUCUAUGGGCUCAGAUUAUACCUUCAGAUGAUAAAAUAUAAAAAAUUCUGGAGUUGUUGGAAGCCCGAAAGUGACAAAUUUCACAGGCAAAUAUGCCAAUCCAUAUCAAAGUAUUUCUUGAACAGGCAUAUCAAAAUGCCAUAUGUGCCGACUGAUUUUGAGCCCAAACUAACUACAAAAACACUACUGGGGGUUGAACCAAAGCAACAAAAUUCAUAGGCAAAUAUGUCGAUCCAUAUCAAAGAAUUUCUUGAACAGGUAUAUCAAAAAGCCAUAUGUGUCAACUGAUUUGAGCUCAAACCAACUACUGGAACACUAUCAGGCAGUUAAAGGUUAGUGGGGAAACUUUGAAUUUUUUAUGAUAUGCAACUGAAAUUGGACAUGUGUGUGUUUUACCAUUUUUAGAGUUGUGUAAAUGCUAUUCCAUCAACAACAAUUCUUGUGUUUGCAGAUUUAAGUAUAUCCUUCAAGGAUUUUGAUUGGUUGCCAUUGAUGAUCUGUCUGCCACAAAAACAUGGUGCUAAAUGGGAGAUCUGACUCAAUUCUAGUAUUGUUAGAGGAAUCAUUUUCAUAGUUGCUGGUGGUUCCAAAACUAUCACACUGCUUUUUCUUUUUAAAGUUAUAGAUGCAUUAAUCCUAUUCUGCUCUAUUGCUUUACAAAAGCCUACAACAACAACAAAGCUGUUAUCUCAUAAUGGUCAUUAAUUUCAUUAAGAAUAGUGCCUAUAAGACCCAUGUACAACACCAUGGCCUGUUGGUUCAGAACAAUCAUGUUCCAUUUAGGUUUGCUGGCUAACCACGAAACCUUGAAAGCCACAUAUGUGCUUGAAGGGGUUGGUGAAUCUUUCUCAUGUCAACUAAUUAAUUCAUAGGUGCUUUUCUUUACAUGAUACAUUAGAAUAAAACUAUGUGCAGAGAUCUGACCGGCCUAGUAAUAACAGUAGCCUUAACGUCAGAUUAUAACCUAAUAUUUGUGCUCUGUUUUUUUUUUUUUCUCUGUAUAAUUUAUUUGUAAUUGCAUUAUCUACUUUGGUGUCUGUUUCAUGUUGCAUCUAGACUUGACUCCUACUGGUUUUCUAGGGCGUGUUUAUGUGCGAUGUGAAGGCUGAUUGGGAUGCACAGUUUGUGAAGUUGCAGUUUCCUCGGUGAUUCCUAACUUUCUUGUCCCAUUUGAUAGGUAGCCAUUGACUGGAUCCUGGUAGUGGGAGACAAUGUGGUCAAUAUAUAUUCUUAAUAUCUUUCAUUCAACUUUCACCGUACUAGGUGUUCUUAUCUUAAUGAAAAAGAACAGGAAAAGUAUAAUAUAAUGAUUAGUAGUUAAAAAAAUGUGGCACAUACCAUGGUAAUAAAUGUUAGAUAAUUGAUGAGGAUAUUACUGUCGAGUUUUUGGUUGAACUUUUCUCGUUAGUUUGUCUUAAAUUUUAUUGUCAUACCCAGCCACAGAGAGAACCUAUCUGAACUCAUCCCAAAUUAUCAAAUAUUGUUGAUUAAAAUUUCGGUCCCUAAAAAGUUGACCAAUGUCAAAUCACUGUCAAAUCAGAUAAUAUAAAGAUGAGUUGGAUUUUUGAGGAUGAACCAUGUUGACCCGAUGAAAUAUGUUUGUGUAAAUAUGUGUGCUAAAUCCUCUCGUUUAUUUGCAGGUCGCUGUAGAGCGCUUGUGUUCUCUGCGUCGGAGGUCCUAAAUAGUGCCCAUCAAAAGUGUGGAAGUAGUUACAAAACCGACAACCUUAAUGCAGGGAAAAUUCCGCAUGAGACUGCUGUAAGAAUUUCAUUCUCCUAUUUUUUAAGUAACUAUUUUUUUUGUUGUUGUUGAUAUCUGCAUUUAAGUAAUCAAAUUGUUGAUAUUAGGAUAGCGUGUUCAUGCCUAUUUGAUUUGUUUAAGCUGUAUUAAAGUAUUUUCCAAUUGAAUUUA